UCGACGAGUAGGAAUGAUUCUGAGCGCCGCUCAUUUGCCUUCUUCCUCUCGACGAGUCUGGAAUUAGGGUUAGUCGUCCGCCCGACUCUUCCCUAUUACGACGAUCAUGAGAUUCUAGUGCUAAAAUUCGGGGUCCUAGACGUCCGGUUCUUCCAAUUCCCGAGUGGAGUAGCGAGAUUUGUAUCGUCACCCUUCCCUUGUUACCCUGUCGUUCGUGGAAUUGAAGGCCUACUCUUGCACGUUGCAGAAGAACGCAUGGCUUCUGUCGCCGAGGGGCAUCAGAGGGCGAAAAAAAAGGGGAGGUACUUGUUCUUGUGAAACUUCGGGUUUAUUAUUUGUUGUCAUUCUUGUGAAAGUUCAUUCUUAGAUAAAUUCUCUUGUGAUGUCUGUGUCUGAUUACAGUAUGAUGCUUCUGGUGGUUGCCAGAUUCCUUGAUUAAUUUCGUUAGAUUGAGUUGGCGAUCGUUUCUUUUGAGAGCGAUCGCAGUCACUACUUUUUGUUGGAACCGGAGGGCGAGAUAACCUUCAAGGUGUUCGAUGAAUUACCGUGUUGCAGGAAGUAACUCUGUUUUGUCAGACGGCAUAAUGCAAUCUAAAUGGUCAACUCUUUCCCUAACCCAUGACCGUGAAUCAAACUUUGAGGUUUGAAUAGAGACACAAAGGGAAGUUUGAAAUAACAAGGGAAAACUCACAAUAAACACGUUGAAGGAUGCUAUGAUUUUCUAUUCUCUCGAGAGCAAGCUUUUAUUUCACAGAGGGCAAGAACAGUUAGUUUCAUGGUCACAUUUUAGACCAGCGAAUAUAAAGAAACUUGUUUUUGAUUGUCAACCGAUACUUUAGAGCAUGGGGGAUUACUGGUUGAGUCAGAUCUCAAGUUAUUGUCCAAGUAAUUCAGGAUUGUUAUGUUGUUUAUGUAGGCCUAGCAAGAUAAGAUGUAUGAUAUCGCCAAUGGUGCACCGGUAGGUAGUGAGUUCGGUGUGAAUUCAUUUAAUGCUAAAUUUCCAUUUUGAACCCCCCAAUUAAGAAAACUGCAGCUUUUGUUUUUAAUCUGGAUUAGAGACUUCGACAAAAUAUGCGGAAAGAUUGAGUUGAGUUCGCCUACGGUUACCUUACUGAUCUUUACCUUCUUGAUAUGAUUUACUUCUUAGCGGAGCUCAUCUAUGGAAUCACAACAACCGAUAUCACUAUUGACUGCUGAAUGUUCAUGCACUGUUACAUGUGCUUUUAUGAUUCAUUGAGAUAAAAGCAUGGAUCUUUCAGCUGGUGUCACAUCUACAUGAUGGGAAAUUUAUCCUGAAUGACACUAACAUGAAGCUGAUGCCGAUAUUCUAGAGGGAUCUGCUAACAGAGAUUGUGGUUAGCAUUCAAGCUCAAUGUUUAGGUAGAGAAGCAGGAGUGUGCACAAGAGAUAUAUCGAAACUCGGUUAAAGUAUGAAAUCAAUGUUGAAGAAUAAAGAUUUAAGAAAAUAGAGAAGAAAAUAUGUCCAUAAAUUUUAUCAUUUUUUUAGAAAAAAUGAUUUUCUGAUUUUAUGCCUAUUCCUCCAUCUCUUGAAGAAAUCUUGCAACUGCAAACCCUGAAAAUCCACUACCAUCUCCUUGAGGAGACUAAAAAUUUGGUGAACAACCUCGGUUUAGGUUCUCUUUGAGAGAGAUAGGACAAAGGAAACCCAUUCUUUUUUGCUCUUGUCUUCCUGAUUUCUUUUUUCUCAAUGAUUGAUUGGAUGCUGACCCUCUGCUGUGGCAAAUAAGUUCUCCUAACUUGUUUGCGAUUUUUUACUACACUUGUUAUUAAUUUAUAUUUAGAAGUUCUUCCAAGAUUGGAUGACAUGCUCUUAUACGUUAACCUUAUCAGUCUCAUUUAGCAACGGGUCUUUUUCGUAAUCAUUAUUCGCACCGCUCAUGUGAUUAAAUGUGGUUUGUCAUCAUUGAAGAGGACACUGCAUGUCACAACUUGUAGGUGCUCAGGACCACCAUAUCUGAAAAUGCUUGGUGAUAAAUUUAUGUUCAGUAAGAUCAAUUAAUUUGAGAUUGCAGAAGACAUUUACUCCUAAGCACUUUGACAUUGGUAGAUCUUCCUUCAUCUUGGAAGCUUAUCCAGAUAUAAUCAUUAUUAUAGAAUACAUGUUCAUGAAAAACAGCUUCUUUGAUUGACAACUUUUCCAUCCCCAGAAUCUGCAUUGAUGGAAAUUGUGUGUGUUAGACUACCCCAUUGUAGAAUAAUUAUAGAUAGGAUAACUGGUAGGUUGAUUUUAUUUGUUUAUGGGUGAGUUAUCUGUAAGUGCAGUAUAUCCCGAAUGCAAUUACUUUAUUUUAAGAUUGCGGUAUAUCAUGCCAUUUACAUGACUUCCCUUAGAUUACCUAUUUCUUAAUCACCUGCUGCAAAUUCUUUUCGUGAAUAUCGUGUUUAGGCACUUAAAAAGUAUGUGGUGGUUCAUCUUGUCUUAUGUGCAUAAAGAUUAGUACUCUCUAAACUUUCUGAAUCUUUUAUUUCAUAAAGUUGAUUUAUUUGGUUGAUUGUAGUAUUGCAACUAAUAUAUGAUCGAUUGAGUUUCUCUUGGUGGAUCUAUACAAAUAAAUUAUGAAAUAUCUCAUGGUAGAUCCUGCCUGGCACUUACUCCUACCCAUCCAUUGUGCACUGCCCCUUCUGCUUGGGUGCAGCUCUUGAUAUAUAAUAAAAAAGAUGUUGGCUAAUCAGAUAGGUUCUUCCGAAAGAUUUUAGCUCAGAACAUAUUGGUCUUGUCCAAGAAUUUAGUAGGUCACUUAAUUAAACAAAGUCACUAAGUUAAUCCAUCUUUUAGUUGCUCUUAGAUCACACAUGUACACUUCCUCUUGAAGAGGAAUCAACUCCCCCUGCAGGCAUUAUAUGUGUCAGCCACAUUUAAGACGAACACUUGGCACACAUUUAUAAUCAAUUGAUCGAUGAAUAGAAUUCCUCAUAAACUUAAGGCGAAUUUUAGAUCAAUGUUGUUGUCAAGAUCAGGAUCGUAUGGUAGAGAUUUAGGGAACUCUGGAUGGACCCAGUUGUGGAUUCCUUAGAAAUCCUAAGAAAGAAAAAUUAAAACUAUAAAAUAAUCCCAUUCAAGCCCUAUAGAUUUUUUUGGACUGGAUUACUUUAAAACGAUUCAGUAUGAUUAUCUUAGAAAGCAUUCUAAAAUGUAAAGUCUGGGUCUAGCUUCACAAUUACUAAGUUUUAGUGUCUCAUAGGCAAGGCAUACUGUCAAAACUAGCUCAUUCAACAAGGCUGUUUGUACUUAUGACACAAGAUGUUGGUUUUAUCCCGAGGACCGAGUUCCUUCAAGUUUUGAGCACUUCAACAGUAGAUUACUGAAAUUGGCAUGUUGAUAUAGAUUCAUAAAGGAAGCUAAGAACCAAGGUUGCAGCAAAUUUAGAUCAGACCAGGAGAAUCUACAGAUCCCUUCCUCGACACUCACAAUUCAGUAGCAAGGAAUAGUUCAGAGGUUCUUACAAUUCCAAGAGAACCUCUCCCAAACCAGUUUGCUUUCACUACUGAUUCACCACAUGCUAUCCAAGUAGUAAUCCCUGGCUGCCUCCUUCACCAUCUUGGCAGUCCUAUUAAUCCUUCCCACCAUCCCAUAUUUCAAAUUGCAAUAAGCUUCGUGUUCUUGUAAGGGAGACCAGGUGUCGCUCAGACUAGUCCCCGGCACGGUCUCGUUUGCGUACAACUUCUUCCUGCGGUUGGCUUUCUCUGGUCUCUGCUUCGGCGUGCUCUGAGGCCUCAACUUUGCCGCAGAGGACGAUGUGUUUGCCAUGUAGUUCGGAGAGUUCGCGGGGCUCGGAGUGUGCCAUACAACCACAUCUGCGGUUAUGUUCAUGUACCUCGGUGGAGUUUGUGGGUUGAGGCGAGGAGUAUUUUGUGCUGUCUUGGAGCAGGGAGAUCUUUCAGGGUUUCGGUAAUAGUGGUAGUCUCGAGAACUCCGGCAGCUGGGGAUGGAGAGACGAGACGGGAUCUUGUGUGCGAGUGGAGAAGAAAGUGGCACCGUGGGUUCCUCGAGUGCAUUAAAACUAGAAGAACCUGUCCUCCGGAAUGACUUGGACUUGAGUUGGAAGGUAUCCAUCUCCACGAUCUUUGGACUCCUAUCGAGGCCAUGGCUCUCUUCUGAUCCCGUAGGCUUGCACCUUGCAUCUCUGACAUUAAACCUUUCCUGGGCGAAAGAGAGCAAGAGGAGAACACAGAAUCAGAGGAUGGUGGUCGUCGAUUGAAGGGUAAAUACCACUAGUGUUUGAGGAUCUCGGUCGUACGAAGGAUCUGCGAUGGCAGACUUGUGCGUCGAGUCUUCGACCUUGCUGGGGCAGAGCACGAGCUUCUCGAGGCCUGGCUACAGACUGAGCUCUUACAAGAGCUUGCAGUCUGCGGAGGGUUAUGGCUGCUUGCUUCCUCACAAGGUAGCCUCUGACUAGAGCCUGCAGCUUCACCAGCGCCUUGAGAGCUCGAAGAGCUUUCUUUGCCUGCGUCACAACAGGAACGCCAAAUAGAUAUACGACCUGAUGCCUGGGCUAGCAAACCAUAGUUAAAGCAUAAACCAGGUAUAAGAAACAGCAAUAGAGGAGAGAGAGAGAGAGAGAGAGAGAGAAGAAGACUAAACAAAGGACUAUCCAGAUUCAAAUAACUCGAGGAUAGAAUCAGAUGAGGCGCUCGAAGUGAAAGGUGGGAUCUCUUCACAAAGUCUACCAUAUUUAUCCAUACCAAGUAGCAUCUGAAGGCUGUCUGAAUCUUGACAGCAGCCCACCGUUCGUAGAUGCCAUAGGGCGUCGUUCUUUCUGUCCCAAGGCUCUUCAGUCGCACCAUCGCCGCCUGAGCCGCCGUCACCGCGGCGUUGGCAGCGGCCGCAGUGGCUACCGCCACCGCUAUGGCGUGCUUGGUCUCCUCCUCGCUGUCGUCGUGGAAGGUGCUCAACCACGCUGCUGUAACAGGGCUGUGACCCAUGCUUGCGGCUUGCUGGGGUCCGGCAAAACUCCACCUCUUUCGAUCUCUGGUGUCGUGGCCACUGGUGCUGGCAUCGUCCUUUUGACCCUUGGUGUCCUUCUUCCCUCCCAGAAAACUCCUCAGCCACCUAGCAGCCCGCCCCAUCGCCGAGGAGCUCCUACGGAGAAAGUGAGGGAAAGGAGUGAAUCAAAAACUACAAGGUAGGGAAGGCAUGACGCGAGGGGGUCUAUUUAAAAGUUGGGAGAUGAGCAUGGCGGUGGUGGACAGCUAGAAAAGAAGGCACCAGCAGCAGCGAGAAAUCUUCAAAAAGAAUUAAGUAACCUAAGGAGUUUCAUGGAAGGAAAAAGAGCAUGUGUAGGAGAUGAGAGGAGGGGGGUGGGCAGAUAUGUGAUCGUUGCACUUCGAACAGUAAAAAGACGCGCUAUGGUGAACAUCUCGUGUCUCCCAACAUUCUUCCCUCACUCGGAUUUAUCGGCCAAAAAAAAAAAAAGAUAGUAUGGGGUUUUUUGUUUUUUUUUUUUUGUUGCCUCAAAAAAAAAAAAGAAGGUAGAUAGGAAAGGAAUAGGGCCCAUCUUAAACUUGUUGAAGGGGAAAAAAUUUAACGUCGUCGUCCUCCUCCUGCCAUCUGCGGUUGUUCCCUUCUCCCUGUAGUCUUUAUCUUUGACUCGGCCCAGCUAGAAAACACACCGCUUUGUUCCGCUAGAAAACACGACUCCAUACCAUGGAGGUGUGGAACACACCUCAAAGAACGAAAAACCCUGGACCUUUCCCCUCUACUUAGCAGGCAACGCUUCAUAAAAUGACAGAGGUAAGCGACAGCAAGUAAUAAAACUGAGCUCAAUGCUUACAACAAUGUCGGAGUUUUAGGCCCGGUUUGCAGAGUAACACUCAGUACGACCUCAUCGUCUCUCUCUCUCUCUCUCUCUCUCUCUCGGUCUCUCUCCCGUCCUUCUGCUGAUAAAUAUCUCCUCGGGAAAGAUAUAUUAUCUCAAAGCUCCGGUCUAUCCUAACGCAUCGCAGCUGCUCUUAGACGACAAGCCAAGAACAGGGGAGCCAAACCAAAGGGCUGCCCGCUACUGUGUAGGUAGAUGGAUACACACACGUCGCUCGAGAAACAAGGGAAUGAGCUGUGCUUCUCUUCCCCACUACUUUUUAUGCUUCCUUGCUAGCCUCUCUGCUUGAGACACCCCAUCGAAACACACACAAACAGGGGGUGGAGGCUCGAUAGAGGAAAGAAAAAAGAAAGAUCCUGGGUUUGGUAAACCGUAUCUUACUCUGUUUGGUGUGAGAGCCCUCGUCGUCAGGCUUCCCCCUCAGAGGAGAUCUCUCUCUGAGAUGAUAAAAAGGGUUUGGUCAAAGGGGUCGGUCGCAGAGAUCCGCAGGGUAUGGCAGCAGUAAAGGCCCCCAAGGAGGGAGUGGUUCACUAGUUACUACCCCGAGUAAACGAUAUGGUGUGUGGGUGUGAGCUACGCCUCCACCUUCUUCUGCUUCUGCAGCAGCGACGUGAUGAUGUGGUGCAGAGGAAAUGGAGUCCCGGAUUGAGAUUUCAGGCUACCUUGGAUGGGGAGAAGGGAAAGGGAACAUUUUAUAUGGCUACAAAUGGGUUGUUUAGACUUCCGAUGCACUGGUGACGGUGAUGAUGUAAACCCAGCGGGAGUGGCGAGGACGUGGGAUACGGCAGCGUAGCAUCCUUCGAUGGAUGGGCAUUGAAAAUUCCAAAACCUGGAGAGUGGAAUUUGACAUCUUGCAUCUAUGCUUUGUCUCCUUCGUCGGCUAAGCAAACAGCAACUCUGGCAGCGCACUGUGCCGACUCCAUUAGAUGUGACUUAGCUCCUAAACACCUCACUCAUCUAACCCCAGUGUCAGCCCGGUGAGCCUUCCCAGGAUGCAAGAAGUCGGCAUGGCCAUCCAAAGUUUAGUCCUCGCAAUCGAUUGGUUGGAUAAGCCCGCAUUUGUCGCCCGAGAGGUGGAAGAAUGGGCUCGCCAAGGCAGCUACGGCGGAAGCAUAGCGAACAGUGGUGCGCGGGUGAAAACAAUAGUCAUAAUAAUCGUGUGGGGGAUGGUGCCGAGUCACGGGCGACGUAAACGUGAGCCUCUCCUCCUCACCGCUGUAAAGACUCGAGGCAUUUGGAGAGUGGGGGCAGUCAUUGCAGCUUGAAUCACGGGCGGGGCACGUGCGAGAUGGGUUUUUCUUGGGUUGGGUUGGUCUCAUUAGCUGCCAUACACGUGUUACACAUUCGCUGCACUGCUGAUCCACAGCAUUGGGAUCCAAAGAGACCGCAACCAUAAUUAUCUUCUCUCCUUCUCGCACUCCGGUUUCGCAGUAGCCGUCGGAUCAGCUGGCCUGAUCGAACCGCGACAAGUUAGGGAUGUCAAGGCGGUGGCGGGCCCUCGAUUAAGACACAAGUCAGGUAUGUGCAUCGCACUCCGACGCUAGUUGAUAUUAUGGAGCUCCUCCGUUCAUAGGCCAACGUAAUGAUGGCUUGCUGUGCUUCUAAAUGAUAGUUAAUGAUGAUUUAACAACUGAAGAAGAGCUUAUCAUUGAUGGUGCCAUCGUGCCAGCCGACAGUCAUGCUGAUAUUUUAAUCUAACGAGCAUGGACUCAAAUGAGCUCGUUCUUUCUUUAUUAUUUUUAUUCUUCUUCUUUGAUUGCUAUUUUUUUUUUCUAUACUACUAGUUCAUCCGAGCUACAAGUACGAGAAUAUGGCUACAGGGUUUACCUUGUAGCCAAUCACCACCUGCCGUAUGUUUCGUAUACUCGUUGAACUUGCUUGGAGCUAUAAAAUAUUAAGGUCAUGGAAUAUAUAUCGAGUUCCUCUUCUACUGUUCGAACAGUAGGAGUGCAUUUAAGUUCCCCGACCGCAUCACUGUAUGAUUUAGUCUACGAGCCACUUGGAACAGUGAGUGGCCUGCGGUCCUAUCCAGUUCGCCAGAGAUCGUGGAAGCAGACUUCCAUCUCCACCUCCAUCUACUGCUCAAAUCUUCUUGCGACUGUGCAAGUACAGUAGCAGCAGCGGCUGGGGCUUGUGCUUCCACAGUGGUCUCUGUGUGCGAGUCUCGACCCACUUCAGCGGGCUUGCUGUGCGAUUCUCCUGUUGGGGUUGCAUGGCGUUCGGGAGCACAGUGGCCCUGCAGCUCCCGGGGACGUGCACUCGGCCUUAACCUCCCAAGUAGUACGUCCCUGGAAGUCAGGUCUCUGUUCCAUUCUUCUCGGGGCAACAAGUAUCAUAGGACGCCACUAUGCAAGGACAGUUGCAUCAGGGAAGCCUGCACCACACUGUGGAACUCCAAAUCCAUCCGCUGGUUGCAUCGAGCUGGGUCACUGCUUCUAUUCGACAUGCCAUCGUCGAACCUGUUUAACUGUGCUGUGCUGGUCAAGUCAAGAGUAAUGUGGAGACGUGAUUCCGAUGGGAUGGAACAGUUGGAUGCAUAGUGAGUCAGAGAAUCUUAGCAGGAGCCCGACGGGCCCACUUCAACGAAUUUGGAGGAAGAUGCUUGGCGUUUACUUGCUUGUACCACAAUCUUCAUUUAUAAGCGUUGAACGGGUUAUGGAAG
rnacentral:lncRNA from 1 species